GUGUUGCCUUGCUUUGUGCGCGAAAGUUUAAUGUAAGAACGAUCUAGAAAAAAAUGAAAUAAAUACAUUUUCGACGAUCUCAUUUAACUGCCUAUGGUUGACAAAGGUGCCCGCUGCAUCUCGGAGCAUCACAAUUCAGGUGGAAACAUAUUAAUGAAGAAUGAGCAUUGCACAGCUUCUGAUUAUCGCAGCCGGACUAUGUGUGCUUUCCCCUGGCGUUAAAGGAUGCUUGCCAACAACGCACAGGAUUCGCUGUGUUCGUACAGACUUCUAUCCAGAGGCAACUUGUCCGGAUGCUGACAGUCCAAAGUGCAUUGCAGGACACGAGGUGUGCGCCUGUAGGCCGAAUAUGUACAGGAAUUACAGAGGGAGAUGCGUCCCGUUCAGCCAUUGCAAUCCGAGAAAAAAGCGGGGGUAAUUGAUCGUGUUCCGAAAAUAAAUAGACUCAGAUGGAGUUGCAAUGGUCAGCCUGUUUUCUUUCUGCGCCGUCAUUAAAACUUCUCUGUUUGAACCAUC